UACGUAGGGUGCGAGCGUUGUCCGGAAUUAUUGGGCGUAAAGGGCUCGUAGGCGGUCUGUCACGUCGGGAGUGAAAACUCGGGGCUUAACCCCGAGCCUGCAGUGGAUACGGGCAGACUAGAGGUAGGUAGGGGAGAAUGGAAUUCCCGGUGUAGCGGUGAAAUGCGCAGAUAUCAGGAGGAACACCGGUGGCGAAGGCGAGUCCCUGGACAACUUCUGACGCUGAGGCACGAAAGCUAGGGGAGCAAACAGG
rnacentral:rRNA from 1 species